rnacentral:lncRNA from 1 species
CCGGGACUAAAGGUCCACCUUUAGUCCCGGUUGGUAACAGAAACCGGGACUAAAAGGUGCGCCAGGGUGUGCCACCUGGCCUCCACUUUUAGUCCCGGUUGUUGUUACGACUAAAGACUUUUUUUCUUUUUUCUUUUUCUUUUCAUUUGGUUUUCCAUUUAGGGUUUACAAUUAUGUUAUUGUUAUUUUCGAAUGCGUAUUGUUUGCUGGUAGUUUAUGGAACGCACACCUAUAUAAUUUAUAUAAUUUAAAGGAUUACAUAUAAAUAUACUAUAAAACACUAUAUAUAUAUAUAAAUAAUUAUAUCUAUAGGUCCAUAAUAAAAUAUUUACACAUAUGCUUCACGGACAAAGUAUUUACAACACAAUUUUUCUCCACCACUCAAGCAUCGUACAAAUGAUCAUCGUUAUUUGGUUUCAUCUGCUCCUGAGGGUUGAAAUAGCACUCGCCGCCGGAAUCUAGGACUUGGUCAUUAAGAAAUCCUGCGAUUGUCUCCUGAAUUCCUUUUAGGCACACCGCAUCCAACACCUGCUCCUUCAGCCACAUCUCCUUUAAUAGACAUUAAAGAAAAAAGUUAGAGGUAUGAAUAGGAUUUAUUAAAUAGCAACAAAUAAAUGAAAUAUACUUAUUAUAUAUACAUGUUACAUACUUUUAGGUGCUCAAGAUUAGUUCUUUUGGCAUACACCGGCAUAAACUCGCACACAUAGUAGCCACACAAAUUGUUGCCCGGUGUCUGCCGUAGAACCCACUGAAGUAAGAUGGGCUUUGAAAGUGAUGCAUUCAACUCUGGACGGUGUUUCUGCACGAACCCAGCCCAAACCCUAGCAAU